rnacentral:rRNA from 1 species
UACGAGUGCCCCAAGCGUUAUCCGGAAUCAUUGGGCGUAAAGGGUGUGUAGGCGGUCGGGUUAGUCUCCUGUCAAAUUCUUCGGCUCAACCGGGGGUCCGCAGGGGAAACGGCACGACUAGAGGAUGCGAGAGGUGAAUGGAACUCAUGGAGUAGGGGUGAAAUCCGUUGAUAUCAUGGGGAACACCGAAUGCGAAGGCAGUUCACUGGCGCACUCCUGACGCUGAGACACGAAAGCGUAGGUAGCGAAUGGG